rnacentral:ncRNA from 2 species
AACUCAUCCAGAGCAGCAGAGGGACUGGCCCGAUGAAGCUGCGGCAACCAUUGAUUAUUUCAAAACGGUGCCAAUUCCUUUAGGCAGAUACCUAAAAGAUGAGAG